UGGGAAGGGAUGCUUAAAACAGAGGCUCCUGGAUCCAUGACAGGACUGAGUGUGAGAGCAGUUCAAGGGAAGUCUUAACCAGCGGGAGGCCAGAACAACAGUUCUGGUACUGUAUCCUGAUCUUGCUUCAGUGGAUUUACAGCUGGUUCCUUUCCUGGAAUGAAAAGAUUAGAAUCACUGGAGCUGCGUGUGCGUCUUCCAGCGAGGAGAACUAGAUAUGGGACAGCCCGGCUGCAAGAAAUCAAGGAUACCAAACCUGACGAGAGGAACUUCAGAGCAGUUUGACAAGAUUAGACUGUGUACUUCAUUAUGUGACAUGGAGACUGCUAUCCUGGAUCAAGCUACAGGUCCAGAAUCUGUUCUGACUCUUGAGCAGUGGCAAGUGCCAUCUGUAAAGAAAAAGCACAAAAGCCUCCUAAUAAAAAAUUAUGGAAAGUUGCCCUUGGAAAGUUUCUUCUUGACAUAUAUUGGCAUGAAAUCAUUUUAUUCUGAGAGUUUCCAUGCC